rnacentral:rRNA from 1 species
GACGAACGCUGGCGGCGUGCUUAACACAUGCAAGUCGAACGGAAAGGCCCUGCUUUUGUGGGGUGCUCGAGUGGCGAACGGGUGAGUAACACGUGAGUAACCUGCCCUUGACUUUGGGAUAACUUCAGGAAACUGGGGCUAAUACCGGAUAGGAGCUCCUGCUGCAUGGUGGGGGUUGGAAAGUUUCGGCGGUUGGGGAUGGACUCGCGGCUUAUCAGCUUGUUGGUGGGGUAGUGCUUACCAAGGCUUUGACGGGUAGCCGGCCUGAGAGGGUGACCGGCCACAUUGGGACUGAGAUACGGCCCAGACUCCUACGGGAGGCAGCAGUGGGGAAUAUUGCACAAUGGGCGGAAGCCUGAUGCAGCAACGCCACGUGCGGGAUGACGGCCUUCGGGUUGUAAACCGCUUUCGCCUGUGACGAAGCGUGAGUGACGGUAAUGGGUAAAGAAGCACCGGCUAACUACGUG